rnacentral:rRNA from 1 species
UGACGCUGGCGGAUGCUUUACACAUGCAAGUUCGAACGGCAGCACGGGAGCUUGCUCCUGGUGGCGAGUGGCGAACGGGUGAGUAAUAUAUCGGAACGUAUCCAAUAAUGGGGGAUAACUAGUCGAAAGAUUAGCUAAUACCGCAUACGCCCUGAGGGGGAAAGCUGGGGAUCUUCGGACCUAGCGUUAAUGGAGCGGCUGAUAUCUGAUUAGCUAGUAGGUGAGGUAAAGGCUCACCUAGGCUUCGAUCAGUAGCUGGUCUGAGAGGACGACCAGCCACACUGGAACUGAGACACGGUCCAGACUCCUACGGGAGGCAGCAGUGGGGAAUUUUGGACAAUGGGCACAAGCCUGAUCCAGCCAUUCCGCGUGAGUGAAGAAGGCCUUCGGGUUGUAAAGCUCUUUCGCAAGGGAAGAAAACUUAAGCUCUAACAUAGCUUGAGGCUGACGGUACCUUGAUAAGAAGCACCGGCUAACUACGUGCCAGCAGCCGCGGUAAUACGUAGGGUGCGAGCGUUAAUCGGAAUUACUGGGCGUAAAGCGUGCGCAGGCGGCCUGAUAAGUCAGAUGUGAAAUCCCCGAGCUCAACUUGGGAACUGCGUUUGAAACUAUCAAGCUAGAAUAUGUCAGAGGGGGGUAGAAUUCCACGUGUAGCAGUGAAAUGCGUAGAUAUUCGGAAGAACACCAGUGGCGAAGGCGACUGACUGGACAAGUAUUGACGCUGAGGUGCGAAAGCGUGGGGAGCAAACAGGAUUAGAUACCCUGGUAGUCCACGCCGUAAACGAUGAUAACUAGCUGUCCGGGCACUUGGUGCCUGGGUGGCGCAGCUAACGCAUUAAGUUAUCCGCCUGGGGAGUACGG